GAAAAAGGCUCUUGAGCCUUCCUUGUUCACCCCGAGCCAUCUGAGGUCCCGGGUACCCAGCUCCCCGACACAUCAGAGACCCUACUUGCACUUUGAGUGAACUGAUUUAAAAACAAGCCGGAGGUGAACCCAGCCUGGAAGGAAGGUUUGUGGCUGCGGGGGCUGCCCGGGCCUGUGACAUCAGGACAUUCAGGGGCCCGCGGUGGGCAAGCGAAGUGGUGACCUGAGUUGAAUGGGCUGCAAGAGGGGAAAGUAGACAGGCCCAGACCAGGGGAAGGGGAGGAGAUAGAGUGCUGGGGCUGCUACGAGUGGACCUGAGCCAGUAGUGCACUGGUAAGACGGAGCACCAGGGCCAAAGACCCGGAGAUCAGAGGAUGCAGCACCGAAGUUUCUUCCUUCUAGCCCUUGUUGCCCUCUUGGCUGUCACGACCGCGGUGGCCAAAAAGAAAGACAAGGUGAAGAAGGGCAGCGAGUGUUCGGAGUGGACCUGGGGGCCCUGCACCCCCAGCAGCAAGGACUGCGGCAUGGGUUUCCGCGAGGGUACCUGUGGGGCCCAGACCCAGCGCAUCCAUUGCAAGGUGCCCUGCAACUGGAAGAAGGAGUUUGGAGCCGACUGCAAAUACAAGUUUGAGAGCUGGGGGGCGUGUGAUGGGAGCACUGGCACCAAAGCCCGCCAAGGGACCCUGAAGAAGGCUCGGUACAAUGCCCAGUGCCAGGAGACCAUCCGCGUGACCAAGCCCUGCACCUCCAAGACCAAGUCAAAGGCCAAAG
rnacentral:lncRNA from 1 species